rnacentral:lncRNA from 1 species
UGUACUCGGUGUACGCCCUGUGUAAAUGGAGAGGAUAUUUCCUGUCAUAGCCCAAGAGUUUCCAUUUGAUUUAGUUCUCCGAAGUCAGGGUGAAUCGGCCUUAUGUUCCUGCCUCCAGACCCUUUUCUCCUGCCUCCGUGGAAUGGAUGGCAGGACAUGGAAAAGUGUUUUGUCCAAAUGACAUGUCCAAGGGCACUGGCAGCUGAAGGCAAGAGGGAACCAGUUAGUGCCACGGAGGAAUGCCCACCCCCGUCUCCACACCGCACAGAACAAACUCUCUGGUUUCACUAUGCAAGCUGAC